AUAUAUAUAUAUAUAUAUAUGUACAUACUUGCUAUAAUAUCAGUGCAUACCCAAAAGCUUUAAACUAUGGGAGCCUGCCAUUUAUUGAUAAAAUGUUAUGGGACAGUGAUUGAUGUUUGUGUCUGAUUCUAGGAAUUCUAGGAAAUGGGAUAAAAACAAGGAGCAUAGACUUAACCUGAAUAGUGCCAAAAAGAGCACACAGGAAAAACUAGUGUGAGACUUGAGGUUGCGAUGCUUGACAUAUGUUAAGUCGUAGGACUUCCUUAUAUCUACACUCUUUGUGAAGUACUCAUACAAGUACCAAAAUUUGACUAUCAUGCUGGCUCUCUAUAUCCCUGUGAAUGACAAAAAUCAGACCAGGGAAUGACACUUCCCUAUCAAAAAAGAAUUCUAGUUCCCUUUCUUCUUAUAGUAUAGCAAAUUCCUGCAGUCUUGACUGCAAAUGGAUAAGUGAAAUGUUACUGCAUUCUGUCCUAUAGACGUAUGGGAUAAAAAUUACUUUAAAUUGGACCUGUAAAAGGGCCUAGUAUGAAUCUAUUCUUGCUUAUUCAACAUUUUAUAUAUACUGAUUUUAAUAUUUUGAUUCUGAUUUUGAAUUUUUUUCUUCCAAAAGUUUAACUUUCUUCUAUUUUUUCCCUUUAUAUAUUUUUUGUUUAUUUUGUUUUUGUUGUUUUUCAAUUCUUUUAAUAAUUGACUCACAUACCCCCAUAACUCAACAAUGCAUCCUGAGCUGAACUGGAUCUUUUUUAACACCCACUUCAGGGGGGAUUGUAUUUUAAUAAAAAUCCAAGAUUUUGAAAUUUUUUGUUUGAGAAAGAUCUUCAAGGAAGAAGCUUGAUGACUCCUAAAUCCAGAGAAUGAACUGUUGCAGAAAGAUGCCAGGAAACCCACACUACAUCAAGAAGAUCAAGAAUGAACUUUGGGUGUGGUUGAUUGAACUGAAGUUUGAUUGAACAUUUAUUGUAAAUGUACACUUUUAUGCCAAAGGGGACUGCCCCUAAUUUGGCUUUUUGUCAAUGUGCCUAGCAAAACAUUGGUUUUGCUUUCUCUCUUUUCUAUUCCUCCCUAACUAUUGUAAUUUCAUUGCUGGUAUGCUUAUAAGACCCAUCUGAGAUUCUAGUCUUCCUUGGGCCUCAGGGGUAUUGUGAAUUUUAAAACUACUCCACCCUACUCAGACCGUUCUUUAGAAGUUCUGAUUUAGCUAUUUCCUGAUUAGUAACAAUGGAGAUACUUGGUUUAACAGAAUCAGCUCUUGGGAAUUGUACAUUUCUUCACCCUACUUAGUUUAACAAGGUCAGGACCUUAUCUGCAGCAUAUUCAAAGAUUUAAUUAUCUAAGAAGAUGGCCUUCAACAGACAUGUGCAGAAACAGUGGACAGACCCCUGGGCUGUCCUAAAUCAAGCUAAGCUAACAUUGGUACAGAUGAGACUCAGGAAAGUGACGUAAAAUCAUCUAUAUAGGGCACGCCACUUCCUCUCUUGGUUUCUUUCCCCAGAGAGGUGGCUCUGGCUGGCAGCAUGCUAAGCAUUCCAAGAUCUUGGAGUGGUGGCAGCUAUUUGUCUGGAUUUUGGCAGUGAGUUUGCCCUUGAGCUAAUUCAGAUUCAGGCAUCUUGGCUGAGCUCUCUUGGAGUUCAGGCUGAUUCCUUCCUCCUUCUCAGUCCAAACCCUUACUUUCUAGAUCCCCUAAUCUCCCCACCUGGCACAAGCCAGGCAGGAGAAAAUCCUUCACCCUUUCCUUCUCCCUUUUUAAUUUCUUUUCACUAUAUUAAUUAAAUCACCAUAAAAUUUCAGACUGACGGGUAUUUUUUAUUUUAUUAUUUUGGAUAUCCAUGGCGACCAAUAAUUAAUAUAAUUUAGUUCACAAUGCUAAAAUUAUCCUUUACAGUAGAUUAGUAGAUUAGUUUAGGUAAAACUAUCAUUUUAAUAAUAUUGACUCUGCCCAUCCACGGACAAUUAAUAUUUCUCUAAUUUUGGGGAUCUGACUUAAUUUGUGUAAAAGUGUUUUAGAAUUAAGUUUGCAAGGUUCCUGAGUUUGUUUUGGCAGGUAUACUUCCAGGUAUUUUAUUCUAUCUGUGGUUAUUUUACAUGGAGUAUCUCUUUCUAAAUCUUCUUGCAGGACUUUGUUAGGAAUAUAUCAAAAUGCUGAUGACUUAUUUGAUAUUUUAUAUCUUGCUACUUUACUAAAAUUGGUAGUUUCAACUAACUUUCUAAUUGAAUUUCUAGGAUUUUCCACAUAUAUCAUUAUAUCACCUGUAAAGUAGAGUUUUUUGACCUCUUUGCCCAUUUUGAUUCCUUCAAUGUCUUUUUCUUCUCUUAUUGCUAUUGCUAGCAUUUUUGGUUACUAUGUUAAACAAUAUUGAUGAUAAUGGGCAUCCUUAUUUUACUCCUAAUCUUACUGAGAAGGCUUCUAGCUUAUCUUUCUUACAAAUAAUAUUCACUAAUGAUUUUAGGUAUCUGCUUCAUAUUACUUUAGGAAAAGUUCCUGAAGUGAGGUAAACUAAGUCAUUGACCAGAAAAAUCUGUUUUUCCCUGGGAAAGUAGAAAUCAGAAAUGAACUUUCCUGUGAAGGUCAGUCAGUUUAGAAUAGUUAAAAUCCAUGAGAAAAUAACUCCCUUAGUGCCGGCAGCUGGAAUAAGAUAUACAAGGAAUACCCUGUACCCCAUGCCACUGACCACUUCUAGAAGAUAAGGCUGCUCUUUCUAUCAAGGUUAUGGCUCAUAAUGAACAUUGUUUGUUUUGUAUCUUGCACCCUAUAAAAACUACAUUGUAAUUUCAGUCUGGUGCAACUUUCACUAGGAAGGUUGCCCUGCCCAGUUAGGUAUGCAUCUUUAAUCAACAGAUUAGUAAAUAAAUAUUGGUUCCAUUAAUUGAACUUCUGGGUGUCCAGACUCUCUUUAUUUUAUUUUAUUUUAUUUUAUUUUUUUCAUUAAUUCCAGACUCACUUUAUGAAGUGGACCACUCAUUUAUACCUAUGCUUUCCAGUGUUUUUAAUAGGAAUGAAUAUUGUUCUUUAUCACAGACCUUUUCUGUAUCUAUUGAUAUAAAGUUCUAUUUUUAUUACCUUUUGUUAUUAAUAUAAUCAAUUAAGUUGCUUGUUUUCCUUAGAUUAAACUGUCCCUGCAUUCUGGUAUGAAUCCCAUUUGACCACAAUGUAUAGUCUCCUACCUAGUAUUUUAUUUAGGGUUUUUGUAUCCAUAUCUAUUAAUGAAAUUGGUCUUUAAUUUUUGUCCUUCAUUUUCAAAGAGGAUUAUUGACAUCAUGGGGUGAUAUCUUGAAUUGAGUGUGAAUUGGAUUUAAAUGAGGCAGAAUUGCAUAAAGUUAUCAACCUAAGACUCCCUCUUCCAUACAGAAGCAGAAAACAGCCAGGGUCUCUCUUCCCCCUCCUGGAAAUGGUGGCAUCUAGACAGUUGAGAUCACAGUGCACUCAUAGGAUGGAUGCCAUGAAUCAAACCAGUGAGACGAUGCUCUCUCCCCUCUGGGAUUUCAGAACAGGAUACAAGCCCAGGGAGCCUUUGGACUUGGAAAUUGGUGGGACCAUGCAAUAUGGGAACUGAUUUAUGCUGUAAACCUAAUCUCCCUCCCUAGAGACUGAGGUGGUAAAGGAAGAUGCUCCACACUCCCAAUUUGGGGUGUGUUUGUUCUUGCUAUAUCUUUGAAGUAACUCUUUCUUUAUUAAAGCUAACCAUACUGCUAUGUGGUUAAAUUGCACUAGGGUACAAAGGACUCCUAAAAUUAGAAGAAUAUAAUCAAUGAGGGCUUAAGUCAAUGGCAGAAAGACUGGACAUACUACAUUCGCCCUUAAGGGUACCAAAGAAUUCUGGAGAGGAAUGAAAUAUAAUAGACCUGGGUUUUAAGAAGUAGAGACCAGGAGAGACACUGGUCAUAUAAAAAGUUAAUAUCCUCUGGCAUUUUAUUUUCAAAUAAAUGUUUAUGUUUAGCUUUUAUACAUAGAAGCUUGGUCAACUUUAGUCUAACUUUCUUCAUUACUUAAAUCAUCUUUAAAUCCUAAAUUCUAGUAUUUUGUCUUUAUACUAUAUGGAGAGAAUAACAGGAGACAAUUUUGUAUUUGCUUCAGUACCUGAAAACAAUAUUCUGCACACAGUAGGUGUUUAGUAAAUGUUUGUUGCGUUUCCAUGUAGCAUUGCCCAUGUGGACUUGGGUGGUCUCCUAAAGGAUAGCCUUGUGAUGCUAAGUAUGUAUAUGGAGAUAUGACUUCUGACUUGCUAAGAUUUUUUGGAGCAAGAAAAAGGAGAAUACUGUAAUGGAAUGUGAGAAAUCAGAAAGUGCAGAAUUUGAAUAGUGGAUGAGAGAUGUUUCCAAAGUUGCAGGUAUAUGGGAAAAGCAGGCACUCAUCCCUUGAUCCCCAAUGCCUGAACCCAUAGAGCUUGCUAAGAAUGUUUUCUUCUUAAUCUUUGGGAUUUAAUUUUCAUCCAAAUUGGGAUGUCCUUUUACUUAUGUAGUCUAUCACUACACUAAUUUGUAUGGUUUCCCUUGAUUUCUCUUAUCUUCUUGAUUGAAUAAAUGUUUGCUAUCUGUGAUUUUUUUUAAAGGAAUAGUUAUUAAAGCUUUGAUAAGAGGGGGGAUCUAAAUUGACUGAGAUGAAACUGUUACCCUUCUGGUCCAGAGUAGGUCUGCUUCCUGUCUGGAGUUACUAGGGAAAGUGACUUUUAACCUGAACUCCAAAAGAACAUUGUAUUUCUAGACUAAAAAUAUCUUGUAAUAUCUUCUAGCAUAGUUCUUUUCUUGAGCCUAGGAGAACAGAGGACCUACUUAUAAGAGAUAUGGAGUGGAACAUAACAAAAUAUAUUUAUCUAUAAAUCCCCACAAGGAUCCUAGAUUUGACUCUAGAAUGUUCUAAGUCCAUAUGUUGCGCUGCCAUUUUUUUCUCUUUUGUAAUUUUCACAUACUUUAUUGUGUUAUGAUUGUUUCUUUAUAUACCCGCAUGGUUUUUCACUUUAUUAGACUGGAACUUCCUUGAGAACAUGAUAUGUGUCACAUCUAUUUUUAAUAGAUGUUUUUGUUGCAAUAAUAAAAUUUUUGUUGUAAUAAAAUAACAUUGUAGCUAUGGCUUGUGAUAAUAAUUGGAAAUCAGUCUAGAUUUUUGUGGGAGAGGAGACUAUUGCUUUCUUUAAUAUAAGCAGGAGUCCAACUGCCUGCUCUCCCUUGUAAGCAGUCUAUGACUACCCCUUUGUAGGACAAGGAAAUUAGUUGUCUAUCUGGUUUGGCAGUUAUGUGGAGACCUUGCCUUACAAAUGCUAACAGAAUGUCAUGUGUCUCCUGAUU